UACGUAGGGGGCAAGCGUUGUCCGGAAUCAUUGGGCGUAAAGCGCGUGUAGGCGGCCAGAUAAGUCCGCUGUGAAAUCUCGAGGCUCAACUUCGAGCUGUCGGUGGAAACUGUCUGGCUAGAGUCCGGAAGAGGAGAAUGGAAUUCCUGGUGUAGCGGUGAAAUGCGCAGAUAUCAGGAAGAACACCCGUGGCGAAGGCGGUUCUCUGGGACGGUACUGACGCUGAGGCGCGAAAGCGUGGGGAGCGAACAGG
rnacentral:rRNA from 1 species